AUUGAACGCUGGCGGCAGGCCUAACACAUGCAAGUCGAGCGAGCGGCGGACGGGUGAGUAAUGUCUGGGAAACUGCCUGAUGGAGGGGGAUAACUCCUGGAACCGGUAGCUAAUACCGCAUACCCUCAGUUGUUCCCCUAUGGGAUUAGCUUGUAGGUGGGGUAACGGCUCACCUAGGCGACGAUCCCUAGCUGGUCUGAGAGGAUGACCAGCAACACUGGAACUGAGACACGGUCCAGACUCCUACGGGAGGCAGCAGUGGGGAAUAGUGCACAAUGGGGGCAAGCCUGAUGCAGCCAGGCCGCGUGUGGGAAGAAGGCCUUCGGGUUGUAAAGCACUUUCAGCGGGGAGGCGUUACCCGAAGAAGAAGCACCGGCUAACUCCGUGCCAGCAGCCGCGGUAAGUC
rnacentral:rRNA from 1 species